GCUCCUCCGUCAUGAAUUGUCCAUUUUCAGUUAUCAUGGUACCGGUGCUGUGUGCCUGUCAAGUACAGUACUAUGAUAACUGAAGAUUGACGGUGCCAAACAUCAGUGGAGU
ensembl:miRNA mir101b microRNA 101b